rnacentral:rRNA from 1 species
AGAGUUUGAUCCUGGCUCAGAAUCAACGCUGCGCUGCGUGCCUCAGACAUGCAAGUCGAACGCGAAAGCCCCCUUCGGGGGGCAAGUAGAGUGGCGCACGGGUGAGUAACACGUAGGUAAUCUACCUUUGGAUUGGGAAUAACCACCGGAAACGGUGGCUAAUACCGAAUAAUGCAGCGGCACCUAAUGGUGACAGUUGUUAAAGCGGGGGAUCGCAAGACCUCGCGUCUGAAGAGGAGCCUGCGGCAGAUUAGCUAGUUGGUAAGGUAACGGCUUACCAAGGCGAUGAUCUGUAGCCGGCCUGAGAGGGCGGUCGGCCACACUGACACUGACAUACGGGUCAGACUCCUACGGGAGGCAGCAGUCGGGAAUUUUGGGCAAUGGGCGAAAGCCUGACCCAGCAACGCCGCGUGAAGGAUGAAAUCCCUCGGGAUGUAAACUUCGCAAGAACGGGAAGAAUAAGUAAGAGCUAACAUCUCUUAUGAUGACGGUACUGUUUGUAAGCUCCGGCUAACUCCGUGCCAGCAGCCGCGGUAAUACGGGGGGAGCAAGCGUUGUUCGGAUUUACUGGGCGUAAAGGGCGCGUAGGCGGUUGGAUAAGUCAGCUGUGAAAACCUCGGGCUUAACUCGAGGCCUGCAGUUGAAACUGUCUAGCUGGAGUGUGGGAGAGGAGAGUGGAAUUCCCGGUGUAGCGGUGAAAUGCGUAGAUAUC